GGUCAGUGAUGUGAUGUAAAAGGUCUGAACCUCAGGCCCCCCCCCUCCUGUCGGCCAUCUUUGAUCUCAGCAGCCCCUGCACUCUGCUCCCAUCAUGCUCUAGUAGUGCAGUGGUGGUCCCAGGAGCUGCUGACACAGACUGGAUGUGACAUCACAGAGUUUUUACAGAGAAACUACAGGCUCAGUGAUGAUGACUGACAUCCAACAGAACCAUUUGGCACCAAGCCUGAGGAUGUGGGGGCGGGGCUUGAGAGCUGAUCUUAAUCUUCUGCUGAGACC